CAACCCAACCCAAGUGAUUCUGUGAUCCUAUGAAGCUCCCCUCCAACCCAAAUGAUUCAAUGAUCCUAUGAAGGUCCCUUUCAACCCAAACCAUUCUAUUACUCCAUGAAGGUCCCUCGCAACCCAAAUGAUUCUAUGAUCCUAUGAAGCUCCCCUCCAACCCAAAUGAUUCAAUGAUCCUAUGAAGGUCCCUUCCAACCCCAACCAUUCUAUUACUCCAUGAAAAGUCCCUUCCAACUCAACCCAAAUGAUUCUGUGAUCCUACGUAGUUCCCUUCCAACCCUAUGAAGAUCCCUACCAACCCAAGGCAUUUUGUGAUCCCAUGAAGCUCCCCUCCAACCCACAUGAUUCAAUGAUCCUAUGAAGGUUCCCCUCCAACCCAAACCACACUAUUAGGGUUGGAGCGUGGGGCUCCUGGGCCGCUCCUUAUCUGUGGGCUCAAGAUGAUCGACUCACCCUCACAGCACUGAACAACAUCAGCCCCGAUCCGAGGAGGAUUCCGGGAGGCGAGGUGGGUUGCAGAGCUGCAUCCUGCAGCUCACCAGUCCCUGCCC